rnacentral:rRNA from 1 species
AACAAACGCUGGCGGCGUGCCUAAUACAUGCAAGUCGAACGGGGAAAGCUUUCGGGUGAGUACUAGAGGCGCACGGGUGAGUAACGCGUGGAUAAUCUGCCCUCGAAUGGGGAAUAACUAGUCGAAAGAUUAGCCAAUACCGCAUAAGACCACGACUACUGAGGUAGUUGGGGUCAAAGGAGCAAUUCGUUUGAGGAUGAGUCCGCGUAAGAUUAGCUAGUUGGUGAGGUAAUGGCUCACCAAGGCGAUGAUCUUUAACUGGUCUGAGAGGAUGAUCAGUCACACUGGAACUGAGACACGGUCCAGACUCCUACGGGAGGCAGCAGUAGGGAAUAUUGGACAAUGGGGGCAACCCUGAUCCAGCGACGCCGCGUGAGCGAUGAAGGCCUUCGGGUCGUAAAGCUCUGUUGUAAGGGAAAAAGUUCUGAUUGUACCUUACGAGAAAGGAUCGGCUAACUUCGUGCCAGCCGCCGCGGUAA